rnacentral:tRNA from 1 species
GUGGGCGUAGCUCAGUGGUAGAGCGCCACCUUGCCAAGGUGGAAGUCGCGAGUUCAAGCCUCGUCACCCACUCCA